CGAAAGGUUUUCUUCUUCAAACCUCCCAUUGCCGAAUUUCAAUAUCUCAACCUAAACAGUACUGCCGCAUGCUCUCACCAGUUGAUUCUUAUGGUGUUCACAAUUGAUUCUCAUUCCCACCGCUUUCUCUCUCAAACGACCUUCAAUCAACACUUCACUCAAUUUGCCCUUCAGAAAUCACCGUGAAGGAAGUUGUGUUGAUAUUGAAGUCGCUUUUAACUAAGGACAAGCUUUUGGUUUCUGUUGCUGCUGGAAUCAAGUUGAAAGAUCUUCAGGUAUCAAUGAAGAUGUUGAAAAGGAUGUUAUAAAUAAUGAAAUUCAAGAGGACAACGUAGAUGAUGGAUUUCAAGAGGACGUCUUAGGUGACGAAUUUCAAGAGGACGGCAUAGAUGUUGAUGAUAAAUUUCAAGAGGAUGAUAUAGUUGGUGAAUUUCAAGAGGACGGUGUAGAUGAAAUUUUUUUGGAGGACGACAUAUGUGAUGAAUUUCAAGAGGACGAUUUGGAUGAUAAAUUUC